AUCAAGUACUCAAGAAAACAGAAACCUCACAUAGGCUGAGCAAGAUAAUUUGCAUCAAGGGAGUACUCUAAAAAUGGAAACUUUGUUUAAAAUUAGAUAAAUAAGUUUUCAAAAACUUGCAAACUCUGCCCUGGUUUUAAUAAAUCUAACAUAGGAUUAAAAUUGCUGUUGUUUUUUCAAAAAAAUCUGAAGUAAUCUCUAUACUAGACAAGUUCAGAUAGAAGGUGAAACCCUGGCUAUUCAGGUUCAAGACACUCCAGGUAUUCAGGUCCAUGAGAACAGCCUGAGCUGCAGUGAACAGCUGAAUAGGUGCAUUCGCUGGGCAGAUGCUGUGGUGAUCGUUUUCUCCAUCACUGACUACAAGAGCUAUGAACUCAUCAGCCAGCUCCACCAGCACGUGCAGCAGCUACACCUGGGCACCCGGCUGCCUGUGGUGGUCGUGGCCAACAAAGCUGACCUGUUGCACAUCAAACAGGUUGACCCUCAGCUUGGACUGCAGCUGGCCAGCAUGCUAGGCUGCUCAUUCUAUGAAGUGUCUGUCAGUGAAAAUUAUAAUGAUGUCUACAGCGCCUUCCACGUCCUCUGUAAAGAGGUCAGUCACAAACAGCAGCCUAGCAGCACACCCGAGAAGCGAAGAACCUCCCUCAUUCCCAGGCCCAAGUCACCCAACAUGCAGGACCUGAAGAGGAGGUUUAAGCAAGCUCUCUCUGCCAAAGUGAGGACUGUCACCUCCGUCUGAAGCAGGAGGAGCACUCAAGGGGGUUUGGUCUUCCCAGGAAGAGGGCCUGAGGUUCUCCCAGUGCAGGAACGUUGAAUAUUGGCAAUGAUUCCUGGUUCCAGAAGGGCUGGAGCAGAAGGGCCAAGAGGGCCUAUGGAACUGUUACAGAAAAGGAAGUGUUGUUCUGAGCAGGGGGACAGGAUUGAUGAGGCUUGAAAGAGCCCACUGAGCCACUCUCUGAAUAUGUGAAAUGUACUCUGUGUCUUUUCCUUUAGAGUGGGGAGGGGUCAUAAUCAUUUUGGUUUCUGCAUUCAACUACCUUGUAAAUGGUGAUCCGUUGCAGUUUCACCAAAUGUAUUGAUGUGACUUACAGUGGGAAUGAAAGAACAGAUUAAGCAUUAAUAGGCUUUCUUUUUUCCCCCUUUUUUCUUUUUUCGCUUUUCUUCUUUCUUUUCCUCUUUUUCCCCAAGAGGAAGAAUUGCUUUUCUCUUAUCAGUAUGAUUUGUAACUGAAACACUAUUCCUACAGAAUGCCUUUCUAACCUGAAGGAUACCCAGAUUUCUUUCUUUAUGUACAAGAUGGAAAAUCCCCUACCCCUCAAAAACAGGUUGAGUUUAUGGGCCAGAAUAUUCUGUAUACCAGACAUUGGUAAGCUCGCACGGUUUGCAGGAAGGCUCUGGUUCCCCCUCACAGGAUGAGCAUGCUCAGUUGGGUGUGUGUGGAGGAGCUGUGAACUUCACACUCUUCAACCCCAGACUUUGACUGUAUAGUUUUUUGUUUUUGUUUUUAACUGUUCCAUCAGGAAAAAAAGGUGUCAGUUGGUUUUGGUGUGACUUGUGUAAAUGGUUCAUGGCAAUGACGUUGGGUUGCUUCCUAGGCCUGGCCGAGUUGUGCCUAAGGGUGGCUGAAAUACUAAAACACUAUCUUACAGCAAGUGAACAGGGGCUACCUGCCAAAUCCCCUCCACAGAUGCACUUUAAAAAGCCACUCAUGCUUUGGCUUAAACUGUAAUUAA
rnacentral:sRNA from 1 species